rnacentral:rRNA from 1 species
GGUUAAGUUAAUAAGGGCGCACGGUGGAUGCCUUGGCACUAGGAGCCGAAGAAGGACGUGACAAACGACGAUAUGCCUUGGGUAGCUGUAAGUAAGCGAUGAUCCAGGGAUUUCCGAAUGGGGGAACCCAACAGGUACUACCUGUUACCCAUAUCUGUUAAGGAUAUGAGGAGGAAGACGCAGUGAACUGAAACAUCUAAGUAGCUGCAGGAAGAGAAAGCAAAAGCGAUUGCCUUAGUAGCGGCGAGCGAAACGGCAGGAGGGCAAACCGAAGAGUUUACUCUUCGGGGUUGUAGGACUGCAA